UGCAAGUCGAACGGCAGCACGGGUGCUUGCACCUGGUGGCGAGUGGCGAACUGGUGAGUAAUACAUCGGAACGUACCUUAUCGUGGGGGAUAACGCAGCGAAAGCUGUGCUAAUACCGCAUACGCCCUGAGGGGGAAAGCGGGGGAUCGAAAGACCUCGCGCGAUUAGAGCGGCCGAUGCCUGAUUAGCUUGUUGGUGGGGUAAAAGCCCACCAAGGCGACGAUCAGUAGCUGGUCUGAGAGGACGAUCAGCCACACUGGGACUGAGACACGGCCCAGACUCCUACGGGAGGCAGCAGUGGGGAAUUUUGGACAAUGGGGGAAACCCUGAUCCAGCAAUGCCGCGUGAGUGAAGAAGGCCUUCGGGUUGUAAAGCUCUUUUGUCAGGGAAGAAACACCGGCUCUAACACAGUCCGGGAAUGACGGUACCUGAAGAAUAAGCACCGGCUAACUACGUGCCAGCAGCCGCGGUAAUACGUAGGGUGCGAGCGUUAAUCGGAAUUACUGGGCGUAAAGCGUGCGCAGGCGGUUAUACAAGACAGGCGUGAAAUCCCCGGGCUUAACCUGGGAAUGGCGCCUGUGACUGUAUAGCUAGAGUGUGUCAGAGGGGGGUAGAAUUCCACGUGUAGCAGUGAAAUGCGUAGAUAUGUGGAGGAAUACCAAUGGCGAAGGCAGCCCCCUGGGAUAACACUGACGCUCAUGCACGAAAGCGUGGGGAGCAAACAGGAUUAGAUACCCUGGUAGUCCACGCCCUAAACGAUGCUGACUAGUUGUUCGGGAUUUACAUCCUGAGUAACGUAGCUAACGCGUGAAGUCAGCCGCCUGGGGAGUACGGUCGCAAGAUUAAAACUCAAAGGAAUUGACGGGGACCCGCACAAGCGGUGGAUGAUGUGGAUUAAUUCGAUG
rnacentral:rRNA from 1 species